CUGGGAACCACGUGUUCAAAUGCUUGAGCCUCUGGGGGCCAUCUUCAUCCAGACAACCCAGGAACUUCCAUUGAAGGCUCAAAGGGGGCAUAAAUAGGGUACAUCUUUGCUUUGGAUGUUAUGCACAGGAGAUCUGCAGGUUUCCCGAUGGAGUCUGAGAAUGAGGCCUUUGCAACUUUCACAUUAUCAUACUAUAAAAUCCACCAGUGACUAUUUGUACUCGAGAUGGUGGAUACAGAUGAUUGGUGACUCAGAGGCUGAUGGACUGGAUCCUCACAAUCGUCGUGGACUCCUGGGCAUCUCUAAUCCAGGACGGAGCAGUUUGAACUCGCUGUCCAAUGGCACGUGAUUGUAUUUCUGCUCAAGAAGAAGAGGACACAGCCCAGCCCAUUCCAUGGAAAUUCAGAGAGGGCGGCCACAUGGGGGCAAUUUUAAUCCAGGCGAAGCGGAGCCCAUGGAGCCCUGAAGAUUGUUAUUCAGUUUGGAAUGGUAUAACUUUGUAAUUGUCAAGAGACCAGCUUGUGAGAAAAACUGAAUUAAAAUGUGAUCCAGCAGAACCAGGCCUGACUGGCCACCUCGGGCACAGCUCUGACAUUUCCAGCUCUCCUUGCCUAGCUGCGUGCUUGAGGACAAGAUGUACUUUGGAUUGGAAUUUGACACUGACUGGGGACCACGGUGAGCCGCAAAGGUGACAAGCAUGGUCUGCUCAUUGACUCAAUCUGUGCAUUGGAACAACGAUGGCGUUUGGAAUUUCAGUUUCCCCACCCACCGAGCAGAGGGAUGGGAAGUGCAGUGUGUAUUACAUUUGUGUUCCUGUCCAGCGCUUCAUGC